rnacentral:rRNA from 1 species
UACGUAGGGGGCAAGCGUUGUCCGGAAUCAUUGGGCGUAAAGCGCGUGUAGGCGGCCAGGUAAGUCCGUUCUGAAAGCCCGGGGCUUAACCCCGGGAGGCGGAUGGAUACUGCUUGGCUCGAGUCCGGAAGAGGCGAGUGGAAUUCCCGGUGUAGCGGUGAAAUGCGCAGAUAUCGGGAGGAACACCAAUGGCGAAGGCAGCUCGCUGGGACGGUACUGACGCUGAGACGCGAAAGCGUGGGGAGCAAACAGG